GUCCAACUUCCUUGGAAAAUUGUCCUUUAUAAAUCUUGACUUAUGUUCUAAGCUCACGAGUUUGACCUUCUUUGCCCUUAUAAGAAACUGCCCCUUGUUGGAAGAUGUGAGAAUGGAGAGAACAAACUUGGGGGUGGAAGAGUUUAUGGUGGAUUUGGUGAUCAAUCGCCGAGUGAAAUCUCUAAAAUUGAGUGGGAAUAACAGUUUGAGUGAUGAAUGUCUCAAAAAGGCUGCGUUAUGUUGUCCAAGUUUACAAGUGG
rnacentral:misc_RNA from 1 species